rnacentral:tRNA from 1 species
AAUAAAAUGCCUGAAAAAGGGUUACUUUGAUAGAGUAAAUUAUGUAUUUCUUAAAUACUUUUAUUA